UCGCGAGUGGCAGCCUGAGCCUUCAAGCCUCGUUUGGAAGCGAGGAUACUAUUGUCAUCAUGCAAGCUGCGGUGAGCAGACUGUGUGCGAUGUUGUGGCGGAGGUAAUCGUGCACGCCGGGAUCCGUAACAAGUGGGUUCACUUGCCGUGGACGCCAGAUGAAACGGGGGCCUUGAAUGUUUCCUACGGCUGCCGGCGUCAUCGGAUGCGUGGACGGCAGCGUUGCCGUCAUCAUUGCACCGAAGGGCGACCAUCACAAGGCGGCAUUUUAUCCCCGCAAGGGACAUUAUGCCCACAUCGUCAUGCUAAUCUGCGACGAAGACAUCGGAAUCCUGCCGUGAACCACUGCGUCUGGGGUCAGACUACGACGCCCACGUCUGGUGGACAACGCGGCUGCGUGAGCGCAUCGAAGGGGCCCGGAUUGCCGCGGCCGUACCUUCUGGCCUCUAGGUGACAGAGGCUACAAACCAGGACCAUGGCUCCUGACACCUCUCCGAGGCUGUCCUCUCAGAAACGGUGUUAAAAAGGCAAGUGCUACACUGCACAUGCUGCAAUGCAGUCUGUAAUGAAGCGUUGUGCUGGGCUAUUGAAAAGCUGCGUUCAGCAGUGCAGUUGUACCCUCCAUUAAGAAUCAGAAUGUGCAUCUCACAUUGCUGCAGCAUGUGCAGUGUUGCACUUGCCUUUGCAUUGCAGAAGGUGACAGAAAUGUUCAUGAUUUCAGCGAUGAUUACAAUAGUGAGCAUGGCAGUGUUGUCAGAGAUGACCCCCAACCACUGCUUAGACAAGGAAGGUCAUCACGCUCCUCAUGUAU